UCUUUUCAAGCAACAGGCCAGCAUCUCGCUACGGCCAGUCUCUGUUCUUUCGGAGCUCUCACUAGACCAGUCGAAUUUCAGCGCCGGUGUAAUGUGCUGCAACCAACAAUUGGUUUCGCGCCGCUCUGCAUAAACAAGCACUUGACAUUGACGAUAUGGGAAACCUACACAGUGUUUGGUAAGCAUGCAGGCUGCAGUGCGCUCUGUCCAGCUCAAAUUGCGACACAGCGACGUCAGCAAAGCAAGGGGCGUUUUUCUGCAGAGCCUGCCAUUGAACGCCCUAGAACGUCAUUUGCUCCUUCUCUGCGCCGAAGUCUCCACGUUGAAACAGCAUACCUGGACACGCGUAGCGACACAACUGAAUGCUCGUUUUUGCGAGUAUAUGCCAUAGGACCACAGGUGCCUGCUGUCAUAGCCGUGGGUCCAGAGGGCAGCAAAGGAUAUUCCGUGUCUGUAUAAGCCGGUGGAGGCUAACGACAGCCUGAUGUCUAGCAGAGAGCACGGCAUGAGUAAUUUCAACUGUUUGAAGAAAGGUGCAGUAUGAACAUCUGCUGGACCAUUACAAAUGGUUGUAUGUAGUUCCAGAGCGCUUUCAACAGGCCACGAAUGCGACAACCACAGGAUUAUGACCAACAUCGCCGAAGUAUUCGCAUGCAACAGCGACGAAAUCUUCAACGCACACGAUCGUGGACCGGUGACGUCUACUCCAGUGUAAACCGGCAUAUGUCCAACCACAGUCAACGAACCAUGGUUCACAGCCACUUUCUCCGGCCUACAAAAGGCGGCAGACUGCCGUGUCCCUUUGGGGCGUGGAACCGGCAGUGCUUUGGCAAUGCCGCUCACACAUGUUCUGCCUCUCGUGCAGUCAACUGUAGGAGCAUACAACAGACACACAGACGGACGGACAGACGGACGGACAGACGGACAGACGGACAGACGGACGGACGGACGGACGGACGGACGGACGGACGGACGGACGGACAGCGAACUUUAUUUAAUCCUGAGGAGCUACUGUCAGGACCUCCUAACGGGAGGCCAUUGUAGCCGCUGGCCGCGCCCACGUCAAGGACAGAACGCCGUGACGCUCCGCUCUUUCCUGGGCCCUCUGUAUAGUCUGGGCUUGCUUUCGGAGUACCGUGCUUCUGAUGGCCUCCUCCCAUUCGGCUUCGCUGGAGAGGAAAGAAUAGAAAUUAUCACGGAGGUGGUGUAUUUACCUUGGUAGACCAGCGCAUUCCUUCUACACGCAUAAAUAUUAUAGAGGACAGGAGGGAAACUGUUUGGUGUCAACUGAAACUCUCGAACGGCAAAUCACUAUCAGUCUGCUCCUUUUGCCGGCCUCCAAUUGGUUCAGCCAGAGAAUUGUGUCAUUUCACCACCACAGCUACAAAAAUCACAUCCGAUAGCGUCAUUGUGGAUGGGGACUUUAAUCUACGUAAUCUCAACUGGGCCGCUAUUUUGUAGCGAUGCCUUAUGCCUUAUUCUAUGCUAUUCUUAUCAUCAACCACACACGGCCGCCUGAUCCCGUUGAUAAUGUGGGCAGACCGUCGCUCUGACUACUGGCCAAGCGCGAAAAGCCUGAAAAAGCAUAGAAUCGGAAAAGGCAUCGCUACAAAAUACCGGCCUGGAAUGAACAGCCGAUAACCUCUGGAAGCUCCCCUAGCUUCAAAUCUGAAAUUGCCGAUUUUAUGAACCUCCUUUCAUUAAGACGAACUGUGCGGAAACCUACGCGACGAAGUCAUAUCCUAAAUCUUUUUUUUUUCACGAAUAUGCCAGAAAUGGUCCAGAACACUGAAAUAUUCCCAGAGAUAAGUGAUCAUGGCGUCGUGCUAUGCGAAAUAAAUAUGAAACAUGUAAGCGUUUACAAUGAGAAGAGUCGGUGCAUGUACAACUACGCCAAGGCUGAUAUCC